ensembl:lncRNA
UGCAGCUGUACUGGGUCCUGGAGACAGUUGGCCUUGUCCCCCUCGGCUGCCAGCAGUGAGGGUGUGCUGCUCCCCGGCACCACCAUGAGCGGAGGCUGGCUGGCUGCUCGUGGUCCUGGAGCCUGCAGCAUGCCUUGGCGGCUCCGACAGCUUCCCAGUGGGCGGGGCUGUGAGGUUCCAUCUGGUAAGCCCCACAGAUCUUCCACUGGCUGGCUUGCUGCUGCCCGGAGCUCCCCCUGCUUCUUUGGUCGGGCUCCAUUCACCGCUUCCAGGCGAGUGAUAAGCUCCUCAAUCUUCCUCAGCUCCUCUUCCUCUUUCAGAAUAGUGGCCAUGCUCUUGGAAUCCCACUUCUGACACCAAUGUGGCAUGCAGAGGAAUCUCAACAAAGAAGCUCACAGAGAGAUUGCAGUUCAACCCCAAACUGGUAGGGGGAGCUCUUUAUUAAAACACACCUCGGUACCACACUGCUUCAGAGGGUCAAUAAACACAAGCCUGAACUCACUCAUGGUACGACAUUCUUUCAUCAACAAUAACUGUCAUUGAACUCACUACAGCAUAAACACAACAUUCAAUGUAACAGCCAAAAGCAACAUAAACAUAAACAACAAAACAAGAACAUUAAACAGCAGCACAUUUCCAAAGGCAUGAUGGGAGAGAACAGCCGCUCCCCCAACACGCCACAGUAUUGUUGAGAAAAUGUGAAAAUUACAGGGAAGAAGUGAAUACAGUUUGAGACAUACUGUGAUGAAACCAUUGUUACUUUUUCCACAGCAGAGUGUUAACUUUAUGACCUUUUUACAGCAUCUCUGGAAUCUGGAUGGCCGACGCCUGACCACCAGGAUGAACCGUGUGUUUGGCUAAUGUUUGUUUUCCUUUAAGAGUGCUUGUAAAGGAUUCAGCACAGACAGACAAGUGACAGUUGAACAACUGUGCAGUGGUUACAGAAUAGUUGAAUAUGGGGCUCAUUAGCUGGCCACUAUUGAGCUCACAGUGAUAAAAAUGAGUGGCGUGACAAACUUAAGGAAAGUCACCGAUUAAAUUGUGGAAAAAAUUGGGAUGCUUCAUGAUUUGGGACAAAUUAUGAUAAUAAUAGUGAUUUAAUGAUUGGAGAAAACUUGCAUAUGAUAUUUGUCUUUUAUGCUGAAUACUUUAUUACUCUUAUCUAUCUAUCUAUCUGAUCUAUAGUUGGUUGAAAAUGUGAAGUUUAAUUUAAAGACUUUGUCUUCCAGGAUACAGGCUCCAUGUGGAGCUGAGAGUUAAACAAGCUAAACAUUUAAUUGCUGACUGAUGUUUUUAUACAGGGUUACAGCUUGGAGUGAAGCUGCUCCAAGGGACAAACCCUGGAGAAUGUUUUAGGGGGACUGUGCAACAUUCUUGUACAUGUCUCAUUGGGGAGUUGACACAUGGUGGAAGCCAUGUGGCGAGAGGAGUGUCAUUUUAAUUUGCAGAUGUCGUGAGACGCCAUGACGAGAAGGAGUGACUGAGAGGAUCGUCCACAAGAUGGAAGCUGAAGCCUGGAGAGAGUCUUCAGGAGGAUCGGAGAUCACCUUCAGCACAGAGAGCUGUGCUACUGGGCUUCCAGGAGAUCGUCAUGAGGAGACUCUGCACAGCAAAAUCCUAAAUAAGAUGAAAGACUUUCGACGUUGACAUUGAGGAAGACAACUAAGGUGUACGACGUGCUCUGCCUUAAAAAAUCUUCAGCAGCAUUGGAACAUGAGAACCUGAGGGAGUGUGCCAAGCUCCAAAAGUGACAGCGCAGAGGAGGUCCAGCGAUGGACUUGUGGUUCUGUGAACAGCACAAAUGCCAGGAUGCCUACAGUGAGAAGAUCUCGGGGGAUUGAUAGGAGUCAUAAAGAAGGGUGUUAACCGGGCUACAGCUUUGAAGUUAGCUGAGAGCCACAUGGACAAAAGAUAAAGUCAACUGAUGUGUUUGAACGUCAAUGUCUGUAUACAGUUGGAUUGUAGUGACAUAUGAUUUUUGAGUAUGUUGAUUCUUCUUGUUUGACUGUUACAUUCAGUUGUUUACUUGCAGGAAUACAUAAUGAAUCGCACGACAGGAGUAGAUGCACCACAAGGCUGGAGAGCUUGGUUGAUGUCUGGUCCUUGGUGGCAUCUUCUUUUGAAAAUAUUAAUUCCUGUUUUUGGACUGUUGACAUUUGAUUUGCUUAUGUAUAGGAUGCAUUUUACAGUGUAUAAGAUCAAUGCGAACUAAGAUGAUUUCUAAUAUAUUUGUUGAUUAUGUACUUUUACAACAAUAUGAAUUGACUGAAAUGAAUGAUAUGACAGAAGCCUGUGUAUAAAUGACGCCUGCGCUGAAAUUGUCAAGCAAGAGGUGCAUGGCUAACAAUAUACUACAUAUGAAUAAUUUGGAGCAUAAAAAUCACAAAACAGGAGGGAAUGUUAGAGUGAAUUGUUAAAUGUUUGUCAUUUUUAUGCUUGCCAUCUCUACAUUGUUUAACUGUGGGAUGAAAGCAAUUCCACUGUCCCCCUCCCCAGAUUCUUGAGACAUCCUAUAUGGAAGGUCUGUUUGAUGUAAGCUUCCUGCGUUUACGACCCUUUGGUCAGCAGGAGGUCUAACACACACACACACACACACACACACACACACACACCAAUAUACAUACAGUGCCUCGUCUUUGUAACCAAGGGGGGUUAAGAGGGGAGGUACGUGUUGUAAACUAUUGUGUGAACUGUAACAGUUUGUCAAUAAAUAGCUGCGAGGGAAGCUGCUCUUUGAAGGACUUUGGGCUGGAGACAGGUUAGGAGCGUAAGCUCCGAGCUGGUUCUUGACCAAGGACUUCCCUUGCUAGCAAGUAAAGGAUGUUCGCCUUGUUUUUCUUUCACGGGAAUAAGUCCUGGAUACAGCGGGGUCUGAGUUUAGACCCAACACUUGGCAAGAGAAAUACAUGUUUAAACCUUAUGACAUUAUUGAAUUAUUUUCAUUUUCUUUCUAUACUAAUCACUUGCUUUGAUCAAUCAGUACAAGAGCACUCCUAAGUCACUCUUAUAAAAACUAAUUUAAUCACUUUUCUUUUGUUUUUUUCAUAACUCACUCCCUUGUCAUACAGCUUCUUUUGAGUUAUUCCACAACUCUAUUUUAUCCAAGUGUGUUUUAAGUGUAUUUUCUUCAACAUUCACACCAUUUUAACAUUCAUGAAAUUAGCAAGCUAAUUUAAUUACAUAUGUUUGUGUUCU